CCUACGGGGGGCUGCAGUGGGGAAUAUUGGACAAUGGGCGAAAGCCUGAUCCAGCCAUGCCGCGUGUGUGAAGAAGGCCUUCGGGUUGUAAAGCACUUUCAGUGGGGAAGAAAGCCUUGGGGCGAAUACCCUCGAGGAAGGACAUCACCCACAGAAGAAGCACCGGCUAACUCCGUGCCAGCAGCCGCGGUAAUACGGAGGGUGCGAGCGUUAAUCGGAAUUACUGGGCGUAAAGCGCGCGUAGGCGGUCUGAUAAGCCGGUUGUGAAAGCCCCGGGCUCAACCUGGGAACGGCAUCCGGAACUGUCAGGCUAGAGUGCAGGAGAGGAAGGUAGAAUUCCCGGUGUAGCGGUGAAAUGCGUAGAGAUCGGGAGGAAUACCAGUGGCGAAGGCGGCCUUCUGGACUGACACUGACGCUGAGGUGCGAAAGCGUGGGUAGCAAACAGGAUUAGAUACCCCAGUAGUC
rnacentral:rRNA from 1 species